rnacentral:rRNA from 1 species
AUUGAACGCUGGCGGCAGGCCUAACACAUGCAAGUCGAACGCGUGGCGGACGGGUGAGUAAUGUCUGGGAAACUGCCUGAUGGAGGGGGAUAACUACUGGAAACGGUAGCUAAUACCGCAUACCAUCGGAUGUACCCAGAUGGGAUUAGCUAGUAGGUGGGGUAAAGGCUCACCUUGGCGACGAUCCCUAGCUGGUCUGAGAGGAUGACCAGCCACACGGGAAAUGAGACACGGUCCAUACUCCUACGGGAGGCAGGAGUGGGGUAGAUGGCACAAUGGGCGCAAGCCUAAUGCAGCCAUGCGGCGUGUAUGUAGAAGGCCUUCGGGUUGUAAAGUACUUUCAGCGGGGAGGCGUUACCCGCAGAAGAAGCACCGGCUAACUCCGUGCCAGCAGCCGCGGUAAUAC